rnacentral:rRNA from 1 species
UACGUAGGGGGCAAGCGUUGUCCGGAAUUAUUGGGCGUAAAGCGCGCGCAGGCGGUCCCUUAAGUCUGAUGUGAAAGACCACGGCUCAACCUUGGAGGGUCAUUGGAAACUGGGGGACUUGAGUGCAGAAGAGGAAAGUGGAAUUCCUUGUGUAGCGGUGAAAUGCGUAGAGAUGUGGAGGAACACCAGUGGCGAAGGCGGCUUUCUGGUCUGUAACUGACGCUGAGGCGCGAAAGCGUGGGGAGCAAACAGG